UACAGGGGGUGCAAACGUUGCUCGGAAUCAUUGGGCGUAAAGCGCACGUAGGCGGUUCGUUAUGUCGGAUGUGAAAGCCCUUGGCUUAACCGAGGAAGUGCAUCCGAAACUGGCGAGCUAGAGUACUAAAGAGGAUCGCGGAAUUCCCGGUGUAGAGGUGAAAUUCGUAGAUAUCGGGAGGAACACCGGUGGCGAAGGCGGUUCUCUGGGCCUUACCUGACGCUGAGGAGCGAAAGCAUGGGGAGCGAACAGG
rnacentral:rRNA from 1 species